UACAGAGGUCUCAAGCGUUGUUCGGAUUCAUUGGGCGUAAAGGGUGCGUAGGUGGCGCUGUAAGUCAGGUGUGAAAUUUCGGAGCUUAACUCCGAAACUGCAUUUGAUACUGCGGUGCUUGAGGACUGGAGAGGAGACUGGAAUUCACGGUGUAGCAGUGAAAUGCGUAGAUAUCGUGAGGAAGACCAGUGGCGAAGGCGGGUCUCUGGACAGUUCCUGACACUGAGGCACGAAGGCCAGGGGAGCAAACGGG
rnacentral:rRNA from 1 species